GUUGUUGUGGCCGAGUGGUUAAGGCGAUGGACUAAAAAUCCAUUGGGGUGUCCCUGUGUAGGUUCAAAUCCUGCCAACAAAG
rnacentral:tRNA from 1 species